UCCUGGCUCAGGAUGAACGCUGGCGGCGUGCCUAACACAUGCAAGUCGAACGAAGCUGAGAGGAGCUUGCUUUUCUCAGCUUAGUGGCGAACGGGUGAGUAACGCGUGAGUAACCUGCCCUGGAGUGGGGGACAACAGUUGGAAACGACUGCUAAUACCGCAUAAGCCCACGGCCCGGCAUCGGGCUGCGGGAAAAGGAUUUAUUCGCUUCAGGAUGGACUCGCGUCCAAUUAGCUAGUUGGUGAGGUAACGGCCCACCAAGGCGACGAUUGGUAGCCGGACUGAGAGGUUGAACGGCCACAUUGGGACUGAGACACGGCCCAGACUCCUACGGGAGGCAGCAGUGGGGGAUAUUGCACAAUGGGGGAAACCCUGAUGCAGCGACGCCGCGUGGAGGAAGAAGGUUUUCGGAUUGUAAACUCCUGUCGUUAGGGACGAUAAUGACGGUACCUAACAAGAAAGCACCGGCUAACUACGUGCCAGCAGCCGCGGUAAAACGUAGGGUGCAAGCGUUGUCCGGAAUUACUGGGUGUAAAGGGAGCGCAAGCGGACCGGCAAGUUGGAAGUGAAAAACUAUGGGCUCAACCCAUAAAUUGCUUUCAAAACUGCUGGCCUUGAGUAGUGCAGAGGUAGGUGGAAUUCCCCGGUGUAGCGGUGGAAUGCGUAGAUAUCGGGAGGAACACCAGUGGCGAAGGCGACCUACUGGGCACCAACUGACGCUGAGGCUCGAAAGCAUGGGUAGCAAACAGGAUUAGAUACCCUGGUAGUCCAUGCCGUAAACGAUGAUUACUAGGUGUUGGAGGAUUGACCCCUUCAGUGCCGCAGUUAACACAAUAAGUAAUCCACCUGGGGAGUACGACCGCAAGGUUGAAACUCAAAGGAAUUGACGGGGGCCCGCACAAGCAGUGGAGUAUGUGGUUUAAUUCGAAGCAACGCGAAGAACCUUACCAGGUCUUGACAUCCGAUGCAUAGUGCAGAGAUGCAUGAAGUCCUUCGGGACAUCGAGACAGGUGGUGCAUGGUUGUCGUCAGCUCGUGUCGUGAGAUGUUGGGUUAAGUCCCGCAACGAGCGCAACCCUUAUUGCCAGUUACUACGAAAGAGGACUCUGGCGAGACUGCCGUUGACAAAACGGAGGAAGGUGGGGAUGACGUCAAAUCAUCAUGCCCUUUAUGACCUGGGCUACACACGUACUACAAUGGCGUUUAACAAAGAGAAGCAAGACCGCGAGGUGGAGCAAAACUCAAAAACAACGUCUCAGUUCAGAUUGCAGGCUGCAACUCGCCUGCAUGAAGUCGGAAUUGCUAGUAAUCGCGGAUCAGCAUGCCGCGGUGAAUACGUUACCGGGCCUUGCACUCACCGCCCGUCA
rnacentral:rRNA from 1 species